rnacentral:rRNA from 1 species
AGCUCCAAUAGCGUAUAUUAAAGUUGUUGCAGUUAAAAAGCUCGUAGUUGAACUUCUGUGUAUAUCCUGUCGUGGCUUCGGUCAGUCAGUGAUGUGCACAUCCGCUUGCAAACCAGGACCGGCCUUUACUGGUCGACCUGGGGAGUAGGCCUUUUACUUUGAAAAAAUUAGAGUGUUUCAAGCAGGCAAUGGCUCGAAUACAUUAGCAUGGAAUAAUGGAAUAGGACUUUUGUCUAUUUGGUUGGUUAUUAGACAUGAGUAAUGAUUAACAGGGACAGUUGGGGGCAUUAGUAUUUAAUUGUCAGAGGUGAAAUUCUUGGAUUUAUUAAAGACUAACUUAUGCGAAAGCAUUUGCCAAGGAUGUUUUCAUUA